rnacentral:rRNA from 1 species
UACGUAGGUGGCAAGCGUUGUCCGGAUUUAUUGGGGUUAAAGGGUGCGUAGGUGGGUAGGUAAGUCAGUGGUGAAAUCUUCAAGCUUAACUUGGAAACUGCCAUUGAUACUAUUUAUCUUGAAUACUUUGGAGGUAAGCGGAAUAUGUCAUGUAGCGGUGAAAUGCUUAGAUAUGACAUAGAACACCAAUUGCGAAGGCAGCUUACUACACAGUUAUUGACACUGAGGCACGAAAGCGUGGGGAUCAAACAGG